UACGUAGGGGGCAAGCGUUGUCCGGAAUCAUUGGGCGUAAAGAGCGCGUAGGCGGCCCUGUAAGUCCGCUGUGAAAGUCAAGGGCUCAACCCUUGGAUGCCGGUGGAUACUGCAGGGCUAGAGUCCGGAAGAGGCGAGUGGAAUUCCUGGUGUAGCGGUGAAAUGCGCAGAUAUCAGGAGGAACACCGGUGGCGAAGGCGGUUCUCUGGGCAUGUUCUGACGCUGAGGAGCGAAAGUGUGGGGAGCAAACAGG
rnacentral:rRNA from 1 species